rnacentral:rRNA from 1 species
UACCAGCUCUCCGAGUUGUAGGGAUGAUUAUUGGGCUUAAAGCGUCCGUAGCUGGCUUAGCAAGUCUCCUGUUAAAUUCAGCGACCUAAUCGUUGAGCCGCGGGAGAUACUACUAGGCUAGGAGGCGGGAGAGGUCGACGGUACUUUCGGGGUAGGGGUGAAAUCCUAUAAUCCCGGGAGGACCACCAGUGGCGAAGGCUGUCGACUAGAACGCGCUCGACGGUGAGGGACGAAAGCUGGGGGAGCGAACCGGAUUAGAUACCCGGGUAGUCCCAGCUGUAAACUAUGCGGGCUAGGUGUUGGGGUGGCUACGGGCCACUUCAGUGCCGCAGGAAGCCAUUAAGCCCGCCGCCUGGGGAGUACGGCCGCAAGGCUGAAACUUAAGGAAUUGGCGGGGGAGCACCACAAGGCGUGAAGCUUGCGGUCC